AGCAGGGACGAAAGUCGGGACUAGUGAUCCGGCGGUGGCUUGUGGAAGCGCCGUCGCUCAACGGAUAAAAGGUACCCCGGGGAUAACAGGCUGAUCUUCCCCAAGAGUCCAUAUCGACGGGAUGGUUUGGCACCUCGAUGUCGGCUCGUCGCAUCCUGGGGCUGGAGUCGGUCCCAAGGGUUGGGCUGUUCGCCCAUUAAAGCGGUACGCGAGCUGGGUUUAGAACGUCGUGAGACAGUUCGGUCCCUAUCCGCUGUGCGCGUAGGAAUAUUGAGAAGGGCUGUCCCUAGUACGAGAGGACCGGGACGGACGAACCUCUGGUGUGCCAGUUGUCCUGCCAAGGGCAUGGCUGGUUGGCUACGUUCGGGAGGGAUAACCGCUGAAAGCAUCUAAGCGGGAAGCCUGCUUCAAGAUGAGUAUUCCCACCUCCUUGAGAGGGUAAGGCUCCCAGUAGACGACUGGGUUGAUAGGCCAGAUGUGGAAGCCCGGUAACGGGUGGAGCUGACUGGUACUAAUAGGCCGAGGGCUUGUCCUCAGUUG
rnacentral:rRNA from 1 species